rnacentral:rRNA from 1 species
UUAAAUAACGGCGAGUGAAGCGGCAAAGCUCAAUUUGAAAUCUGGUACCUUUGGUGCCCGAGUCUGUAAUUUGGAGAGUACCACUUUGGGACUGUACUUUGCCUAUGUUCCUUGGAACAGGACGUCAUGGAGGGUGAGAAUCCCGUGUGGCGAGGGUGUCAGUUCUUUGUAAAGGGUGCUCGAAGAGUCAAGUUGUUUGGGAAUGCAGCUCUAAGUGGGUGGUAAAUUCCAUCUAAAGCUAAAUACAGGCGAGAGACCGAUAGCGAACA